ACCACCAAGAACAAAAGCGAUCGGGGAAACUAAAGAAAACGGAGAAAAACAAAAUACCAACCGGAAUGAAAACAAAACGCUGGGAAACCCUGAAAAUGAAAGGAUUAUGUCACAAACCAGUGUAAAUACCAGCAUUAUGGAGCAAGAAACAGCUAACUGUGGGGAGAUGCAUGCAUAUGAGAAGAUGCUACAGAAGGCUGCAUUUCAGAAAAGUGAAAAUAGUGGAAAUCUGAUGGUGGAAACAGAGGAAGACAUGGUUUGGUCUAGAUGUGACAGUAAUUCAUGGAAUCGUCCUAAUAUGAAAAAAGAGAAAGGUGAUUCUGGUAACUUGAAGAAUGCGGACAAGGAACAAAUGUCCACCAAAUAGGACACAACAAAAAUAAAAUGUUAUGAUAGUGCUUUGCGUUCGUGCUUUAAAUAUGGAAAAAGCAAUAACAUCUUAAAUGCUGUAAAACUUUUAAGAUAUAAAAUAGCAACAUACACAGGCAGUUGCUACGACUUCAUUGAUUGUUUUUGACAAAGCAGUGUAAAUUGUAGGCCCUUAUAUAAAUUGUAACAGGUGGACUAAAAUUUUGUUUUAGCUUUAUCUUAAAGAUAAUUACAGCAAACAGAAUGUACCUGAUCACAAUAUAGUGUAAUACUUUUGUAAAUAAGAGUUUUUAAUUUAAUUUUUUUAUUGCAAAUUCCCUUUAUUAUGGGUAAAAAUGGAUUAACAAUAAAUUGUUUGAAAAUGAUUCAAUUGUUUCUUAAAUUACUGUCUUUUUUAUUCAAAAAUAAAAAUUGAAAUUAAAAGUUUACAUUCGCUUAUAAUGGAUGUACUAUAUACUAUAACAAUCUUAAAAUUUCUGUGAUGCAACUGUCCCUUUUUGGUGACAGGAUAAGUGAAAUACAUGUACUGUAUAUACUUCUUUGUCAAUGUAUUAUUAAAAAAUUGUAGUUAC